rnacentral:rRNA from 1 species
CAGUCGCCACGGUAAUACGAACCGUGCGAACGUUAUUCGGAAUUACUGGGCUUAAAGCGCGUGUAGGCGGGCCGCCACGUCGGUUGCUGAAAUCCCCCGGCUCAACCGGGGAAGUGGCAUCGAUACGAGCGGCCUUGAGGGGGGUAGGGGGAUCUGGAACUUCCGGUGGAGCGGUGAAAUGCGUUGAGAUCGGAAGGAACGCCCGCGGCGAAAGCGAGGUCCUGGACCCUUUAUGACGCUGAGACGCGAAAGCCAGGGGAGCGAACGGGAUUAGAUACCCCCGUAGUCCCUGUCUCUUAUA